rnacentral:rRNA from 1 species
UACGUAGGCAGCGAGCGUUGUUCGGAGUUACUGGGCGUAAAGGGUGUGUAGGCGGUUCUCUAAGUUUGGGGUGAAAUCUCCCGGCUCAACCGGGAGGGUGCGCCGAAAACUGGGGGGCUAGAGUGCGGGAUGGGUAAGUGGAAUUCCUGGUGUAGCGGUGAAAUGCGUAGAUAUCAGGAGGAACACCUGUGGUGUAGACGGCUUACUGGACCGCAACUGACGCUGAGACACGAAAGCGUGGGUAGCAAACAGG